rnacentral:tRNA from 1 species
GCUUCCGGCGGGCGUUUCGGGCUGGCGCAAUCGACCUUCCAGGUCGGUGGCAAUACCGGUUCGGCGUUCGGCCCGUUGCUGGCGGCU